GAUGAAGAACGUGGCGAAAUGCGAUAAGUAAUGUGAAUUGCAGAAUUCAGUGAAUCAUCGAAUCUUUGAACGCACAUUGCGCCCGCUGGUAUUCCGGCGGGCAUGCCUGUUCGAGCGUCAUUUCAACCCUCAAGCUCUCCGGAGUUUGGUGUUGGGGCGCCUGGGGCUUUUCGACCUCAGGGCCCUCAAGUCCAUCGGCGGGACCGCCAGGACACUGAGCGCAGUAGUAUUAUUUCGCUCGGUAGGAUCUUCCACGGCGGGUCGAUCUGGCCGCUAAACCCCCCAAUUCUCACCAAAGGUUGACCUCGGAUCAGGUAGGAAUACCCGCUGAACUUAAGCAUAUCAAUAAGCAGAGGA
rnacentral:misc_RNA from 1 species